rnacentral:rRNA from 1 species
GACGAAUGCUGGCGGCGUGCCUAAUACAUGCAAGUUGAGCGCUGAAGGUUGGUACUUGUACCAACUGGAUGAGCAGCGAACGGGUGAGUAACGCGUGGGGAAUCUGCCUUUGAGCGGGGGACAACAUUUGGAAACGAAUGCUAAUACCGCAUAAAAACUUUAAACACAAGUUUUAAGUUUGAAAGAUGCAAUUGCAUCACUCAAAGAUGAUCCCGCGUUGUAUUAGCUAGUUGGUGAGGUAAAGGCUCACCAAGGCGAUGAUACAUAGCCGACCUGAGAGGGUGAUCGGCCACAUUGGGACUGAGACACGGCCCAAACUCCUACGGGAGGCAGCAGUAGGGAAUCUUCGGCAAUGGACGAAAGUCUGACCGAGCAACGCCGCGUGAGUGAAGAAGGUUUUCGGAUCGUAAAACUCUGUUGGUAGAGAAGAAAGUUGGUGAGAGUGGAAAGCUCAUCAAGUGACGGUAACUACCCAGAAAGGGACGGCUAACUACGUG